UGGAAACUGGUUGGCUUGAGUGCGGAAGAGGUAAGUGGAAUUCCCAGUGUAGCGGUGAAAUGCGUAGAGAUUGGGAGGAACACCAGUGGCGAAGGCGACUUACUGGGCCGUAACUGACGCUGAGGCGCGAAAGCGUGGGGAGCGAACAGGAUUAGAUACCCUGGUAGUCCACGCGGUAAACGAUGAAUGCUAGGUGUAGGGGGUAUCGACCCCUCCUGUGCCGGAGUAAACACAAUAAGCAUUCCGCCUGGGGAGUACGGCCGCAAGGUUGAAACUCAAAGGAAUUGACGGGGGCCCGCACAAGCAGCGGAGCAUGUUGUUUAAUUCGAUGCAACGCGAAGAACCUUACCAGGUCUUGACAUCGACGUAAGCCUGUAGAGAUACGGGGUGCCUUCGGGCAACGGAAGACAGGUGGUGCAUGGUUGUCGUCAGCUCGUGUCGUGAGAUGUUGGGUUAAGUCCCGCAACGAGCGCAAC
rnacentral:rRNA from 1 species